rnacentral:rRNA from 1 species
GUGGGGAAUAUUGCGCAAUGGACGAAAGUCUGACGCAGCAACGCCGCGUGAGGGAUGACGGCCUUCGGGUUGUAAACCUCUUUCAGCAGGGACGAAGCGAGAGUGACGGUACCUGCAGAAGAAGGACCGGCCAACUACGUGCCAGCAGCCGCGGUAAUACGUAGGGUCCGAGCGUUGUCCGGAAUUAUUGGGCGUAAAGGGCUCGUAGGCGGUUCGUCACGUCGGGAGUGAAAACUCGGAGCUUAACUCCGAGCCUGCUUCCGAUACGGGCAGACUAGAGGUAGGCAGGGGAGAGCGGAACUCCUGGUGUAGCGGUGGAAUGCGCAGAUAUCAGGAAGAACACCGGUGGCGAAGGCGGCUCUCUGGGCCUUACCUGACGCUGAGGAGCGAAAGCGUGGGUAGCGAACAGGAUUAGAUACCCUAGUAGUCC